UUGUUGUCUGCAGGAACGACAGUGGGAACAGCUGACCCACAGAUACAGGAAGUGCACCUAAGAUGACAUCAUGUUUCACAACGUACAAGGGGAGACUCACUUGGUGACCACGCCGAUUUUCACCCCGAAGACCCCAGUCUGUUUUCGCGACGGCAUCCUCUUCAGGCUAAACUCCCGGCUCGUGAACUUCAUGGACAGCUUCACCUCAAUCUGUUCACAGGAUCACAGGCCGAUGCAAGUUACUGGGCUCACCCCCCCCCUACACACUACCAUUUAUAGCUUGACACCACUGGCUGCGACCUUCCAAGACUCACCCCGUUUGUGGCGAUGACCGACCUCUGCCAGUCUUUUCCCUGCAGCGUCUGAGGGUCCAGCUGAAGCCAAACAGACACAGAUAUGUCAUCUUCACCUUCGUUAUGUGUACUGCGGAAAGUCGGCCAUGUCCGGGAUUAAUGCGUGCUUCCUAGUGGGAUAUUUUUCACUCUACUCAAGCGAUCAGAAUCUCAAACUGGUGUAGAGCCCAGAACUUGCAAAGGCAUCGGAGGCUUAAGAUAUUCAUGAUCAGAGCAAGAGAGCAAUCGAGACCUAGCAUCAGAAGAUACCAUCCAUCCAUCCAUUUUCCAAACCGCGAUCCUACUGGGUUGCAGGGGGUCCGGAGCCUAUCCCGGAAGCAAUGGGUACGUGGCAGGGAACAACCCAGGAUGGGGGGCCAGCCCAUCGCAGGGCACACUCACACACCAUACACUCUCACACAUGCACACCUAUGGGCAAUUUAGCAACUCCAAUUAGCCUCAGCAUGUUUUUGGACUGCGGGGGGAAACCGGAGUACCCGGAGGAAACCCCACGACGACAUGGGGAGAACAUGCAAACUCCACACACAUGUGACCCAGGCAGAGACUUGAACCUAGUCAGAAGAUACCAUGGUUGAUAAAUACACCAUGCAGUGAAAAUCAUUGUCUAAGCUCAGUGAUCCCUUAGAUUUAGCCUGUUAGCUACUUGAUCACUAAAUGUUUCAGCGAUGCAAGGCUUUCUUUUUAAUUAUUAGCUUAGCGUCUAAGAACACGACACACGUGCCUGGUCUGUUUAAGCACGGCAGGAUUAACCUGCUUUAUCAGUCAGUCUGAUUUGACCUAUUAAAAGGAAAUGAGUUAAACCCAUCAGCCUGAGAGGGGGCGCUAAUCCCACCCACUGCAGGGUUCAAAGCCUCAUUCCUCAUGAAUGUUUAGUUGCCGCAUUAAAUAAACGACUCAUUAAACUCAGCUGCCGUCAUGGCAACCGGGGGAAUUUGGCAAAGCUGUCCCCAAUGUGAGGAGGUGCACAGACUGUAGAUAUUCACCAACAGACCUGACGAUCUCAAAAUACCUGCCUGUCACCACGGGCAACCACCCCCCCCAGCUCAUUGAAGCUCCUAGAAGGCCAGGCGUUUGUUUCAUUCUGAAUGUUAUGCCAACACACCUUUGCAGUGAGCCUGGUGCUGAAGAGGCGUGUCCUUACGGGGUAUGAGCCCAAUCCUCUCCAGACUUCUGUUGACUAGGCCAUCAUCUAGUUCUGAUCUAUGCACAGCAUUGCCCUGGCAACGGCGACGAGGCAUCACCCAGCAGAGCAUGUGAGCGGAGUGGAGCGGUGAGAAUUUCCGCUCCUCCGUCACAAGGCUGUUGGCUCCGCCCACUCUUCCGGUCUAAUUCCACUCCGCUCAACACCGCUCCUCGCGCCACUAAAAUUUCCUUCCUCUCCACGCGCUGAACAAAUUCCGGCUGCUCCGCUCCUCUCACUCUCCGCUCCUCUCACUCUCCGCUCCUCGCUCACACACUGCUCACAUUCUCUGUCACCCACUAAUCAGGUGGCCUGGACGCUCUGGCCUCCCAGUGGGCCCCCUUUGAACCUGAUCGGCAGGUGUCAUUCAGGGAAAAGGAGAGCCAAUCAGAAUGAAGCCAGGGAUGCUGAGUCUUGAGUUCCCUUCACAGCUGUCUUUAAGUGACCCCCUCGCCCCACUACCCAGGUCCUCACUGACACUGGGAGGGGGUACAGCUAUCU